rnacentral:lncRNA from 10 species
UUUCAGACAAAAAAGAACGGUGUUUGUAAACCAGAGUCUUUGAAAUCGGUGUGUAUGUUACACCUACAACACAUCCCACACUGGAGGAGCCACCCUCCCAGGGCGAGACAGCAACACAGGCCUCCUGGCCACCCACACAGAGAAUAGAUACAUGAACUUCGGUACAUUGAUGCGGCAGAAUAAGACGGUGUACAGCAGUGACACCAAAGGAACCAUGGCUACAGGUAGCAGCAGCUGAACCUCACAAGUAAAACCGAGAGACUGCAAAGGACUGUAGACUGCAUGAUGUUACAUGUCUGUAACAUUCAAAAGGAAGGCAACACCGUUGUACUUAGUGAUGUUGAGCUAAGCCUCUGCAGAAAGGCGAAGCUGUGAUUGCACUGCAGCCCGUAGCAUAGUGAACUUUGCAACGCAGGGAAGGGCAUACAAAGCGCAGGCCUUUGGGAGUUCUGGCCGUUCUGUGUACUG